AUUGAACGCUGGCGGCAUGCUUUACACAUGCAAGUCGAACGGCAGCGCGGGCUUCGGCCUGGCGGCGAGUGGCGAACGGGUGAGUAAUGCAUAGGAACGUGCCCAGUAGUGGGGGAUAGCCCGGCGAAAGCCGGAUUAAUACCGCAUACGACCUGAGGGUGAAAGCGGGGGACCGAAAGGCCUCGCGCUAUUGGAGCGGCCGAUGUCGGAUUAGCUAGUUGGUGGGGUAAAGGCUUACCAAGGCGACGAUCCGUAGCUGGUCUGAGAGGACGACCAGCCACACUGGGACUGAGACACGGCCCAGACUCCUACGGGAGGCAGCAGUGGGGAAUUUUGGACAGUGGGGGCAACCCUGAUCCAGCCAUGCCGCGUGCGGGAAGAAGGCCUUCGGGUUGUAAACCGCUUUUGUUCGGGAAGAAAUCCUCUGGGCUAAUACCCCGGGGGGAUGACGGUACCGGAAGAAUAAGCACCGGCUAACUACGU
rnacentral:rRNA from 1 species